CUCAUGAAGUAGGCUUUUCCUGACAUUUUUCUUUCAAGCAGAAGCCUGAUGAUGAUCUUACCUCAUGUGGACAUGAUUAGCAAUCCAUUUGCGGUGGACCGGGUCUUCCUCACACUCGAGAGGUUCUGGGUUUGAAUCUCAGCUCUGACUUUCCUGUGUGGAGUUGCCAUGUUCUCCCGGUGCUUGUGUGGGUUAUCUAAUUUCAAAAUCAUGCAUGGCCGCCAUGGAACGGGGUGACUGCGAUGCCACGAAUUUCCCAAGGAACCCUGCAUUUUGAGGGUUAAAACGCUUUUAAAGGCUUUGUGGACCUGGAAGAAAUUAAUUCAUGCCACGUUAUUUCCUGUGCGGAAAAACAACUUGGAAGCCGUCCAGCAUCACAGAACAGAUUAUAUUGGACUUUGGAACUUCUACUGUAUUAUUUUCAUUUCACUUUUAUUAUGAUUUCUGUUUAUUUUCCAGGUGGCAAUGCUCUCUUGAAUAUGGCAACGGUUGACAGUUGGAGAACUUUGCAGAUAAACAUGCUGACACUGGCCAUCCGUCUGCCCCAGUCGAAGGAACCUCCUCCACUCAUUAAUUUUCUGCGACCCCAUCCAUCUGUGUCUCACAGGCAGAGAUGCGCACACACACAAUAUACAGUACAUUGAAAAACCUCAAGAUCGAAGAUCUUGACUCACUAUCAAUCUUCAAUGAUGAAUCAGGCUCUCGCUUUCUAUAUGUUCUCUCUCUGUGUGUUGUAUGUACAAAGUGUUCACAGCCUAGUCAUGUAAUAUUUAGCAACUUUAAUCCCCCAACAAAAAUCAGUAGCUUCCCCACAGCGGAUGUCCACAAAUCCUCUUUAUGAUUCCAUGUGUUUGUGCUGACAAAGUGACUCAAACAUCACGCACACGUGACAAAAGACACCUGAACUAUGUUUCGUCCAUCCUCAAUAUAAAUGCACUGGCAUGGUGGAGUAUUACUGCAGAUCUUACUUUGUCAUAAUUGUUUCCUUCUGGGUCCCUUGGUGGUGUCCCACAGGGAUCCCUCCUUGAUCUGUUCAUGUUUAUAAAUAGGAUGUUGCCAAAUAAUGUUACCUGGAUUCAUAGUUCCGCUUGUACCAAAAAACACAUUCAACCAUGCAUUAUAGGAUGUCCUCAAAUAGUGACCGUCCCUCGAAUAGAUGUGAUGCCCCAAUUAGUCAUUGGGUGAGUCAAUGUAGACGCCUUCCUUCAAUUGACAGCUCACUUUAACUAUUAGGAAUAAAACAUGUAAUAAGUGUAACUAUCUCAGUUCAUAGACACAUUAUUUACACACAGACGUUAAGAAUGACUUGAUUAACCUGAGGGCAGCAUGGUGAAUAUAUUGGUUAGCAUGGCUGCCUUGCAGUUCUGACGUUCUGGGUUCAAAUUUGAGUUUUCAAACCUUGUGCGUGCGGUUUUCGUUUGGAUACUCCAGCUCCAGUUCCACAUUCCAAAAACAUGCACGUUAGGUUUAUUUCGGAAAAACUGAGUGUGAAUUUUCCCCUGAGAUUGAAAGGCGACCGGUGCAGGGUAUACCCUGCCUCUCGCCCAAAGUCAGAGGCUCCUGCUCACUCAUGGUCCUAAUGAGGUCAAGCGCUACAGACCAUGUGUUGAUGGAUGAUUAGCCCUUUGGAAUUCUGUUGCUAACCAAAACAGCAGCACCUCACAAAGCACACUCAGAUUAGUUUUAAGUGUGUGGUUUUAUGGCAUAUUGUAAACUAAUUCCCUGCACAGUAUUAAAUACGAUCUUAGGAUCAGAAGAAGCAAUAAGAAUUCUCGUUGACCAGAAUUGCUCCACAAUGUUAUGGGCAGCCAUGUUUAUGUUACGCCCAGUCUCCCUUGAUUCUUGAUGUUUCUGUACAUUUCACUUGACAAAAAUUGUAAUAAUCCACUAACAUUGUUUGCCAUUUUUCUGAAAAUGCAUCCAAAUAACAGCUUCCGCCACUAAUAGAUACUUCCCUGGAGUUGAGUAAAUAAACAACCCUGGCCUCUAUUUGUGGCAGCGGUGUAGCUUAUCUUUACCUGUAUCCAUAUUAUAUUAUCCAUCCAUCCAUUUUCUGAGCCGCUUCUCCUCACUAGGGUCGCGGGCGUGCUGGAGCCUAUCCCAGUUAUCAUCGGGCAGGAGGCGGGGUUUUCCUCCCCAACCAUGUGGGAGGAAACCGGAGUGCCCGGAGAAAACCCACGCAGGCACGGGGAGAACAUGCAAACUCCACACAGGCGGGGCCGGGGAUUGAACCCCGGUCCUCAGAACUGUGAGGCUGACGCUCUAACCAUUCGCCCACCGUGCCGCCCCAAGUUAUAUUAUAAAUAUAGGUGCAUGUCUAAAAUGUUCCCAGAGGUCUCGCCUGACAGACUGACGCACAGUGACGAUGUGAUGAAAAUUGCUUUUGGCGCACCUGUGUGACCUGCCUCUAUCAGAAAGUGAUGGACACAACAACCCUGCACGGAUUGUAUGUCACUCAAAUGCAUGACUUUGAGCUUUACUGCAA